rnacentral:RNase_P_RNA from 2 species
CCAGUCGGCUGGAUGGCCGCCGUCUUUCGAGACGGAGGAAAGUCCGGGCUCCACGGAGAAACGGCGCCGGAUAACGUCCGGCGGGGGCGACCCCAGGGAAAGCGCCACAGAAAGCAAACCGCCUCUGGGCUUCCAGAGGCAAGGGUGAAAGGGUGCGGUAAGAGCGCACCGCGCUGGCGGCAACGUCCGCGGCACGGCAAGCCCCGCCGGGAGCAAAACCGAAUAGGGACGACAGGGGUUUUCCCCACCCUUCUCCGGGGCGUCGUCCGGGUUGGUUGCACGAGGCGGCAGGCGACUGCCGCCCCAGAGGAAUGGCCAUCGCGCGCCGCAAGGCGCCAUACAGAACCCGGCUUACAGGCCGGCUGGCUCC